rnacentral:rRNA from 1 species
CACGUAGGGGGCGAGCGUUGUCCGGAAUCAUUGGGCGUAAAGAGCGUGUAGGCGGCCAGGUAGGUCGGUUGUGAAAACUGGAGGCUCAACCUUCAGAGGUCGACCGAAACCAUCUGGCUAGAGUCCGGGAGAGGAGAGUGGAAUUCCUGGUGUAGCGGUGAAAUGCGCAGAUAUCAGGAAGAACACCCGUGGCGAAAGCGGCUCUCUGGAACGGUACUGACGCUGAGACGCGAAAGCGUGGGGAGCGAACAGG